CUAAGCAUAUCAAUAAGCGGAGGAAAAGAAACCAACAGGGAUUGCCUUAGUAACGGCGAGUGAAGCGGCAACAGCUCAAAUUUGAAAUCUGGCUCUUUUAGGGUCCGAGUUGUAAUUUGCAGAGGGCGCUUUGGCUUUGGCAGCGGUCCAAGUUCCUUGGAACAGGACGUCACAGAGGGUGAGAAUCCCGUACGUGGUCGCUAGCUAUUGCCGUGUAAAGCCCCUUCGACGAGUCGAGUUGUUUGGGAAUGCAGCUCUAAAUGGGAGGUAAAUUUCUUCUAAAGCUAAAUAUUGGCCAGAGACCGAUAGCGCACAAGUAGAGUGAUCGAAAGAUGAAAAGCACUUUGGAAAGAGAGUCAAACAGCACGUGAAAUUGUUGAAAGGGAAGCGCUUGCAGCCAGACUUGCUUGCAGUUGCUCAUCCGGGCUUUUGCCCGGUGCACUCUUCUGCAGGCAGGCCAGCAUCAGUUUGGGCGGUGGGAUAAAGGUCUCUGACACGUUCCUUCCUUCGGGUUGGCCAUAUAGGGGAGACGUCAUACCACCAGCCUGGACUGAGGUCCGCGCAUCUGCUAGGAUGCUGGCGUAAUGGCUGUAAGCGGCCCGUCUUGAAACACGGACCAAGGAGUCUAACAUCUAUGCGAGUGUUUGGGUGUCAAGCCCGAGCGCGUAAUGAAAGUGAACGGAGGUGGGAACCCGCAAGGGCGCACCAUCGACCGAUCCUGAAGUUUACGGAAGGAUUUGAGUAAGAGCAUGGCUGUUGGGACCCGAAAGAUGGUGAACUAUGCUUGAAUAGGGUGAAGCCAGAGGAAACUCUGGUGGAGGCUCGCAGCGGUUCUGACGUGCAAAUCGAUCGUCAAAUUUGGGCAUAGGGGCGAAAGACUAAUCGAACUAUCUAGUAGCUGGUUCCUGCCGAGU
rnacentral:rRNA from 1 species